CCUACGGGCGGCAGCAGUGGGGAAUAUUGCACAAUGGGCGCAAGCCUGAUGCAGCCAUGGCGCGUGUAUGAGGAAGGCCUUCGGGUUGUAAAGUCCUUUCAGCGGGGAGGAAGGCGAUAAGGUAAAUAACCUUGUCGAUUGACGUUACCCGCAGAAGAAGCACCGGCUAACUCCGUGCCAGCAGCCGCGGUAAUACGGAGAGUGCAAGCGUUAAUCGGAAUUACUGGGCGUAAAGCGCACGCAGGCGGUCUGUCAAGUCGGAUGUGAAAUCCCCGGGCUCGACCUGGGAACUGCAUUCGAAACUGGCAGGCUGGAGUCUUGUAGAGGGGGGUAGAAUUCCAGGUGUAGCGGUGAAAUGCGUAGAGAUCUGGAGGAAUACCGGUGGCGAAGGCGGCCCCCUGGACAAAGACUGACGCUCAGGUGCGAAAGCGUGGGGAGCAAACAGGAUUAGAUACCCUAGUAGUC
rnacentral:rRNA from 1 species